UACGAAGGGGCUAGCGUUGUUCGGAUUUACUGGGCGUAAAGCGCACGUAGGCGGAUUGGUCAGUUAGAGGUGAAAUCCCGAAGCUCAACUUCGGAACUGCCUUUAAUACUGCCAGUCUAGAGUCCGGAAGAGGUAAGUGGAACUCCUAGUGUAGAGGUGGAAUUCGUAAGAUAUUAGGAAGAACACCAGUGGGCGAAAGGCGGCCUUACUGG
rnacentral:rRNA from 1 species